GACGAACGCUGGCGGCGUGCUUAACACAUGCAAGUCGAACGGAGAGUCCCUGCUUGUGUCGGGUGCUCGCGUGGCGAACGUGUGUGUAACACGUGUGUAACCUGCUCUUGACUUUGGUAUAACUUCAGGAAACUGGGUCUAAUACUGGAUAGUUGCUCUUGCUCCUUGGUGGGUGUUGGAAAGUUUCGCCGGUUGGGAAUGGACUCCCGGCUUUUCAGUUUGUUGGGGGGGUACUGGUCUACCAAGGGUUUGUCGGGUACCCGCCCUGAGAGGGUGACCGGCGACAUUGGGAGUGAGAGACAGCCCCGACUCCUCCGGGAGACAGAAGAGGGGAAAAUAGUACAAUGGGGGGAAGCCUGUUGCAGAAACACCGCGCGCGGGAUAAGGAGCUUUGGGGUGUAAACAGCUUUCGCCUGUGACAAGGAGAAAGUGACGGUAAUGGGUUAAGAAGCACCGGCUAACUACGUG
rnacentral:rRNA from 1 species